rnacentral:rRNA from 1 species
UACAGAGGGUGCAAGCGUUGUUCGGAAUUAUUGGGCGUAAAGCGCGUGUAGGCGGCUUUGCAAGUCGGGUGUGAAAGCCCUCGGCUCAACCGAGGAAGUGCGCCCGAAACUGCAGAGCUUGAGUACCGGAGAGGAUGGCGGAAUUCCCCAAGUAGAGGUGAAAUUCGUAGAUAUGGGGAGGAACACCGGUGGCGAAGGCGGCCAUCUGGACGGAUACUGACGCUGAGGUGCGAAAGCGUGGGUAGCAAACGGG